rnacentral:rRNA from 1 species
UAGGGAAUAUUGGGCAAUGGAGGGAACUCUGACCCAGCCAUGCCGCGUGCAGGAUGAAGGCGUUAUGCGUUGUAAACUGCUUUUAUAUAGGAAGAAAUAGUCCUUGCGAGGAAAGUUGACGGUACUAUAUGAAUAAGCACCGGCUAACUCCGUGCCAGCAGCCGCGGUAAUACGGAGGGUGCAAGCGUUGUCCGGAUUUAUUGGGUUUAAAGGGUGCGUAGGCGGUUUAUUAAGUCAGUGGUGAAAGACGGUCGCUCAACGAUUGCAGUGCCAUUGAUACUGGUAGACUUGAGUAUGAUUGAGGUAGCUGGAAUGGAUAGUGUAGCGGUGAAAUGCAUAGAUAUUAUCCAGAACACCAAUUGCGUAGGCAAGUUACUAAGUCAUAACUGACGCUGAGGCACGAAAGUGUGGGUAUCAAACAGGAUUAGAUACCCAAGUAUUCCCUGAGCGGGCUGGCAAGGCGCAU